UUCGCACUUACAUAUUCAUUUGAACGUGACAGGCAUGGUGACAAAUGAUAAAGAGCCGACCAUCUUAGCCCUACUGAAGCGUUAUCAUGGUAACAUUUUUAUCACCUGUCAUGCCAUGCGUCACUUUCGCACUUACAUAUUUGUUAGAACGUGACAGACAUGGUGACAAAUAAUAAAAAGCCGACCAUCUUAGCCCUAUAGAUUCAAUAAAAUUCCACGACUAUUUUAUCACUCAAUCAACACGGUGUAUAAAUAAAGAAUUCCUGUGAAACAAAAUUGGCGCAAUACAGAGAACACAGAUUACCUCUUUCAGAUUUCGCACUAAAAACCA